ensembl:lncRNA
UGUGCGCGUACAUUCGUGCCUGUGUACGUGUGUGUGUGUGUGUGUGUGUGUGUGUGUGUGUGUGUGUGUGUGUGUGUGUGUGUGUGUGUGUGUGUGUGUGUGUGUGUGUGUGUGUGUGUGUGUGUGUGUGUGUGUGUGUGUGUGUGUGUGUGUGUGUGUGUGUGUGUGUGUGUGUGUGUGUGUGUGCGUCCGACCCUGACCUUCAUGAAUAAAGCUGAAGAUGACCAGUGAGAUCACAAAUCUUAAUGAGUGUCUGGGAGUGGGUGAGUUAGACUAACAAGUGCUGUUUUAAUUCACUUAACAAACUGAAUCAGGGUCAGUCUCAGCUCAGGGGGCAGAGUGAUGCCAAGUCCAACUCUUGAUCGGACAUAAUCCUGUUGGUCAUGGUUGCCCCCAAGAGCGCCUUCCAAAACAACAUGGUAAAAGUGUGAGGUAAAUUAUGUAUAAUAAUAAUUGUAUAUAAAUUAUGCAUGAUAAUAAUAACUAAAUUUCCCUCCUCUGCGAGUUUCUAUCUCAGCACACGUCCUCCUCAAGAGAGGAAAGGGGAGAACGAGUCACAAGGGGGCAGGAAAGUGGCGGAGACAGAGAGAGGAAACAGGACGUAUGCAGAAAGUGGUUUUCUGUGUUGCAUUUGUUCAAACCAAACCAACGGAACCACUGAACCAAACCAAGCGUCCUGGGCUGGAUCACUCCGUCUCAAUCCUCCUUGACCUCUAGGGUGACCUUGUGGCUGCGGGUGUCUAGGAGUGAACUUCUGGUUCAGGACCAUGGAGAGAGGCCUAGACUGCUGCUCGCACACUACUCACAGAUAGGCUUCUGACGAGCAUCAAUUAAAUUACAUUUUAAUUCAUUUAAAUACCAUUACAUUUUAUUGGUAUAGCCCUUAAUCACAGUUACAGUCUCAAAGGGAGUAACAGGCUGUAUCUUUAUGACACCCUCCUAAUUAGUAAGGAAGAAACCACCUUGAGAAGGUGUCACGACUUGACUCAGGGACAAGGACUCAGAAGCAAAACUCAAAAGACGGCAGUAUGUUUGAUUCAAAAACGCUUUACUAGAAAAAGGUAACAAAAAACGCUCUCAUGGAGGAUACAAAACUAUAACCAAAAGAUGCUCGCUUAGGAGGAUACAAAACACAAUUAAAUACAGUAGUAUCUGCAAGUGUCAAAAACUAACAAAUCCUGAGGCUUGACAAUACCCUGGGGACGCAAGACGAACUGACAUUAGACAAAGGAAAACAAGGGCUAUUUAUACAUGAGGGAGGGGAACACAGGUGAGACGAAUCAGAGACCGGGGAGGCAAUCACAGUUCAGAAAGUCAAGUGCCUGAAACGAGAGGGAAAAGGGAACUACAAAAUAAAUGAGUGAUUUAAACUUGGCUCCACAGAAUUAACAAACUUUGAGUGACAUGACAGUACCCCCCUUUCUAAGGACGGCUCCUGACGGCCCAGGCACCUGAGGAUAUUGCCUGUCAAAGUCCUCUAUUAAGGACCGAUCCACCACGAAACUGGAUGGGAUCCAAGACCUCUCUUCUGGGCCAUAACCCUCCCAAUCUACCAGGAACUGCCUCCCUCGUC